rnacentral:tRNA from 1 species
CAMGACAUAGCUWAACUAAAAGCACUCAGCUUACACCUGAAAAAUGCCCAAUAAAAGGGCUGCCUUGA